rnacentral:lncRNA from 1 species
AAGAGAUAAUAGAAAAGACAAACAACGAAGACAAUAAUUCUUAAUUAAGUACCGUUUGGUUCGGGUAUACAGGGAUAGGUACAAGUAUGGGGAUAAGAAAAAUAGUGUUUGGAUGAAAAUUCGGUUGUUCCCAGGGAUAAGAACAAUUUUAGAUAGUUUUAUAUAAAAAUGAAGGUGUUGGUGGGAAUAACCGAUAACUACUAUUCUCGGGUAAAAAAUUAGCGUUUGGGUAUAAAGGGGGAUAGGGCCUAUUCCUAUCCCUAUCCCUAUCCCUUAACCAAACGCUGAGCUUUGACACCAUUUUAAUAGAAUGUCCUAAAAAUCGAAUUUACGCAAAAACAAUAUGUUGGGUAUUUGUUAUUAGUUAAAAUAGAUCCAAAUUCUUACCUCGGGACAAUUGGCCCAGGAGUCUAAAGAGUUAGGUUGGAUUAAGCCCAAUAAGUUGAGUAGGAUUGCGAUUCACAAUAUCCUUAAUGUUAAUAGACUCAACAAUAGAUCUAACGUUUAUGUGGAUUGAAUUAGAUCAAAAUCCGUAAGUGCUGUAGUUGAGACAUUAAGUGCAUAGGGUGCGCUCUCCUAUCGGUAUGUGCUUUUGGGAUAGUUUGUUAGUGCUUACGAUCCAAAAGGUUAACAGAAAAAAUAAUAAAAUGAUAAAUGAGAAUUUUUAGGGGGUUUAGAAUUAGCUCUAAUGCUGUUUUGGUAGGAUACCGUAAAAAUUGAAUCUAGUAUAAAAUGGUCUAGUGUUAGCCUUAACAAUCGCAAUCCGAUACUCAAUGGGGAGUGACAUUUUCACUAAAAUGUAAACAUUUACCCUUUAAUCUUUUCAACCUGGAUUGCACAGUGACAAUCAACUUCACUAUUUCAAAUAGAAUAUAUAUAUAUAUAUAUAUAUAUAUAUAUAUAUAGAGUCCAGCUAUGGUGCUUGUAAAAGCACCAAACACUUGGUGCUUAUAAGUUUUUUACCGUUAUAUCUACUUCUUGGAUAAUUUUCAACCAUUAGAUUAUACUAUUCAACCAACCACCCACUCAAUCCUAAGGAGCCCACAUCAUCCUAACCGCAUAUUUCUUAAUCCAAUAGCUAAAAAUCUACAAGCACCAAUAACUUAGUACUUUUAAAGACAUAGGAGCUCAAUUAUAUAUAUAUAUAUAUAUAUAUAUAUAGAGUUAAGCUGGAAUACUAUUGGUAGCAAACGGGUCCGUUGCCACCCAUUUGUUUUCGAUGAUGAAGUCUCACGAUCGGCACCAUUGAAAAUAAUCUAUACCACUUGAAGUAUCUAGAAAUUAAAUUUCAUGCUUUUACGAUAUUGUUCUCUUGUCCAUCAAGAGGACAUAAAAAUUAACGGUUGAAAAUGAAUAUCCUCUAAAAAGUGAUGAUAGGAAUUUUAUAAUCAAGAUCGAGAGUAUAAAUCUUGUUCUAAAUAGUUUAAAAAAAAUUUUAACCAAAAUUCAAUUGAUUUGAAUAACUUUACACCGUUAAACAAGAAAACCUCUCAUAUCUAUCAUUAAAAUUGUAAAUUUUGAAACUAUGUGAUCAUUAGGUCAAUGAUGUUGAAAAGAUUUGAAAUUUGAUUUUUAGAUACUUCAAGUGGUAUAGAUCAUAUCCAACGGUGCUG